UACGUGUCAUCCAGUUCGGUUCAUCCCUUUCAUCAAAAUCCAUUCAUCUGCCAAAUCUCCAAACUUUCUUCAUCUUCCAUUUUUCUCAAAUCCAUUCAACUGCUGCAAUUCUCAGGUGCAAUUUGAUGGCUCAUUCCGGAAUUGAAGAUUGACGCAUCGUUGCCUUUCAGUGAUCUUCCCAGCUGUUAUACUAGAAGUUGAAGAAGAAUUGGUCGCAACUCAUUUAACAGAAAAUUUGACUGCUACAUUUGGAUCUUUUUGAAAAGUUAGUUUGAAGAGAGGGCCCAAUACUCUUAUUGAUAUUGUUAUAUAUACUGUACCAAUAUACUCUACAUCAACUACUAAAGACAUUUCUCCUACUUCAACAGAAAGCCUCAAAUGUCACAAAAUUACAACGGUAAUAAUAAAGAUAUAUAGUCAAGAUGAUUGCCGCCAACAUAGUAAUGGAUUACUUUGUCUUUUGCGACGACUUCUGUAAAUCUGUAAAUACAUACAUAGACGCUGAAAUCCAUGUAUUUGCAGUUUUUCUAUGAAACAAACUUCAACUGCUUUACUGAUUUAUCAGAUGUUGCCUAA